UAAGGUUUCCCUUCUCUCUCUUCUAUAUAUGUAUCACAAGUCAUCGGAUGGUGGUUUACCAGUUGGUGGUGGCCUUGUUUCAACAGUGCAGUCCAUAGGUUCUUCGCAUAUUUUCCUGUUGUGUUCAUGUUUCUUGCAGUUGCCACACUUAUAUAUUCUACCUCCCACCCAAUGCAACAUGUUGAGAAUCAUCAACCUUCCUAUUCUGUUUCUUGUUGUUCAAACCUAGAGAUACGUCUUUCCUUUUCUUUUGUGCAGCUUCCUCUUCUUCCCUUGCCCCAAUCUUUCUUUUCUUCUUAGAUGGUCUAUCAAGCGUAAUAAUAUAAGGAGGGGGCAGGCUCUACAUUUUGACUAUUUUACCAUUGAUUAGGACUAGGUAAGGGUGGUACAAUAGGCUCAUAUGCAUCCAUAUACAUCUCCUUUGAGUACCAAUCCCAAAAAAUCUUUCGGACUAAGCCUCAUACACAGGAUGCACUCGUAAGCAUGAUGACACGGGAUCCCCGCCAACUCCCAACUGUAGCAGGUGGUUGAAGGUUAAGAAUUGGUUGGCUUGAUGAAUCCAAAAGGCUACGGCGGGACAACUCCAAGUUUGGUGUUGAAGAUGCACUUAAGUUUUAAUUGGUGGGCUUGCGGUAUUCUUCACCAUACGGCCUUUUCAAGCCAACACGCACCACUCUAGAACCUCUUAGAUGUGCGGCACGGUCGGGCCCAAGAGUCAUGUACAAGGGAUCCUUGUUUAAAAUUGUAGUAACCUUGCCUUCGGCACAUGUUUGUUGA